AUUGAACGCUGGCGGCAUGCUUUACACAUGCCAGUCGAACGGUAACAGGCCUUCGGGUGCUGACGAGUGGCGAACGGGUGAGUAAUGCAUCGGAACGUGCCCAGAGGUGGGGGAUAACGCAGCGAAAGCUGUGCUAAUACCGCAUGUGAUCUGAGGAUGAAAGCGGGGGACCCAGCAGCAAUGUUUGGCCUCGCGCCUCUGGAGCGGCCGAUGUCAGAUUAGGUAGUUGGUGGGGUAAAGGCCUACCAAGCCGACGAUCUGUAGCUGGUCUGAGAGGACGACCAGCCACACUGGGACUGAGACACGGCCCAGACUCCUACGGGAGGCAGCAGUGGGGAAUUUUGGACAAUGGGCGCAAGCCUGAUCCAGCAAUGCCGCGUGCGGGAAGAAGGCCUUCGGGUUGUAAACCGCUUUUGUACGGAACGAAAAGGCUCUGGCUAAUACCUGGGGCUGAUGACGGUACCGUAAGAAUAAGCACCGGCUAACUACGUG
rnacentral:rRNA from 1 species